GACGAACGCUGGCGGCGCGCUUAACACAUGCAAGUCGAGCGAGAACCAUUCCUUCGGGAAUGGGGACAGCGGCGAACGGGUGAGUAACACGUGGGUAAUCUGCCCUCGAUUCUGGGAUAGCCCGGGGAAACCCGGAUUAAUACCGGAUAGCCUCUCGAGCUUACGAGCUCGUGAGAAAAGGUAGCUUCGGCCUCCGAUCGAGGAUGAGCCCGCGGCGGAUUAGCUUGUUGGUGGGGUAAUGGCCUACCAAGGCGACGAUCCGUAGCUGGUCUGAGAGGACGAUCAGCCACACUGGGACUGAGACACGGCCCAGACUCCUACGGGAGGCAGCAGUGGGGAAUCUUGCGCAAUGGGCGAAAGCCUGACGCAGCGACGCCGCGUGGGGGAAGAAGGCCUUCGGGUUGUAAACCUCUUUCAGCAGGGACGAAGCCACUCGGGUGAAUAGCCCAGAGGGUGACGGUACCUGCAGAAGAAGCCCCGGCUAACUACGUGCCAGCCGCCGCCGUAAAAC
rnacentral:rRNA from 1 species